AUUGAACGCUGGCGGCAGGCCUAACACAUGCAAGUCGAGCGAGCGGCGGACGGGUGAGUAAUGUAUGGGGAUCUGCCCGAUAGAGGGGGAUAACUACUGGAAACGGUGGCUAAUACCGCAUAGUAUCGGAUGGACCGAUAUGGGAUUAGCUAGUAGGUGGGGUAAAGGCUCACCUAGGCGACGAUCUCUAGCUGGUCUGAGAGGAUGAACAGCCACACUGGAACUGAGACACGGCCCAGACUCCUACGGGAGGCAGCAGUGGGGAAUAUUGCACAAUGGGCGAAAGCCUGAUGCAGCCAUGCCGCGUGUAUGAAGAAGGUCUUAGGGUUGUAAAGUACUUUCAGCGGGGAGGCGUUACCCACAGAAGAAGCACCGGCUAACUCCGUGCCAGCAGCCGCGGUAAUUC
rnacentral:rRNA from 1 species